UACGGAGGGGGCUAGCGUUGUUCGGAAUUACUGGGCGUAAAGCGCACGUAGGCGGCUUUGUAAGUUAGAGGUGAAAGCCCAGGGCUUAACCCUGGAAUUGCCUUUAAGACUGCAUCGCUAGAAUCGUGGAGAGGUGAGUGGAAUUCCGAGUGUAGAGGUGAAAUUUCGUAGAUAUUCGGAAGAAACACCAGUGGCGAAGGCGACUCACUGGACACGUAUUGACGCUGAGGUGGCGAAAGCGUGGGGAGCAAACAGG
rnacentral:rRNA from 1 species